UCAAAUUGAUGCACUGAGAGUGUCUGGAAAGGUACUCUAGAGUCCUGUGUACCUUGCAUUAGGCAUAGCCUCUCCUGUGUGCGCAUAAGUGUGGGAACUGCUGGCUCAACACCAUUGGCACUCAAUUCUGCAGUGCAGAGCUGAAAUCAGAGAGGGAUCUACUGGCCAGAUGCCUGACGGCAAGCUGGAGAUUGCAGAGGGCAAGAAAUUUGGAGAACUGAACAGAAAAUGUCAAGUGAAGCAGGAGAAUUUAUUUUUGCAGCCAGUGACUUUUGACUCCAAGGAGAGUUCAGAGUACAGUGAACAACUGCUGGGAUUAGACAAAAUAGGGUUACAGGUCUGUGGAAAGUAAGCAGCAGAUAACCCAUGCUAUUUAAUAUUGUCCUCUGCUUUGACAGAGUGUGACAGAGUUCCCCAGAACAUCGUUGCUCUUCACAAGAGAGUGUGCUCUUGCAAAAACAGCAUCAGUGCUAAUGCAACUUAGUGAAUUUGUGGGAACAUAGCAGAUUUCCAGGCUUUGGGUUUCUGUCUCCUUAACUUACAGAACCAACCUCAGAUUACUGUAUGGGUUAGAGUCAACGGAAUCCUCCCCUGCACAAAAUGUACCUUCAGAACAAAAGCCCAAACCCUGACAGGGUUUGUUUCAUUACUGAAACAGGGCUAAUGCUCUUGCUGCUUGAGAAGGUCACACAUGGGUAGCACCAUCACAGAGAAGAGCAAGAAGCUGCCCUUGCCAUUGCUUGACCAUUUUAUUCCUUUAUCUUAAGUAGUCCUGACUAGGGUUGGCAUGAGAUGAACUUUGUUCAUCCACAUCAAGAUGUACUUGGUGCUUUCUUUGUGGGGUGGUUUAAAAGAAAACACCUCUUCAGCCCUGCCCGUUCCAAAGGUUCAGAUACUGAUUUACCCCCUCCUAUUCCUAAUGUGAAGGACUGAAAUUCUGAUUUCACAUCCAUGGUCUUGUGCUUAUUUCUUUGAGGGCUGGCCCUGGUGACCUGGUUAUGCUACAUCCUCCUGCUGCUCUUCAGUGUCCUUACAGCUGCUGCUUGAUUCUAGGCUCUCAAAGCACUCAGCUAAAGCAGCUGUGACUUUUGGGCCAUGAAGCUGUAACCUCUGUGAGCAGCUGUGCUUGAGUCUGCUAAAACUAAUUUUGCAUCUUGGCAACAGUUUUUGGCACGUAUUGGUCCCACUAGUGUGGUGGUACAAUGUGAUCCACCAGCAGUGCCACUGACCUAAACAGGCUUUAACUGUGCAGUAGAUGCGUAGCAACUCUUGUUUUGCUACAUUUCCUCACCCUUCAUUUGUUGGCACAAGGCUCUCUUGGUGUCUGCUGUAACUGUAAAAAGUUAGGAGUGCUUUUCAUCCAAGUAUCUUUGCUAGAUAACUUGGAGUGCAUCGGUCUUAUUUCUGUAUCUCUAAUUGUUGAAUCUCUGCAUAACCUGUAACUGUAAAGUUUGGAAGGUGAGUGUUGAGCACUUAAGAGGGCAUGGAUAAAGGAAAAAUCAGAGUUCCUUGCUUAGUAAAAAUUACCAUAAUGUUAUAUCCACCUACACUAGCUUUUAACUGUUUUAUUGGAAAAGUCUGAACCCUAAAAAGCUGUUUUAAUGAUGGGUAUGGGAGAGCAGAAAGGGAUGUCACACUGCUUAGGUUCCUUCUAGCCCUGCACUUAUCUAUCCCUUCAUAAGAAACACUUUAGCUUUUGAGAAGCUCAGUGUGUUCCAGCUUGAUAACCUGUGAAUGGCCUAAGGUGAAAAUUUUGGAUUUUACUAAUGGUCCUCUCAUCUGUAGGCAGAAGUGUUUGGAGAUGGCAUCUGGGACAGAAAUUACGUUUUUCUGACCUUGGACAGUCCAUCUCAUACCACUUCCUGCACUAUUUGGUCAUUUAAACCUCCUGAAGGUCUGAAGUCCAUUUGGUUUCUGCAGCAGAUCUGUAACUGGGUUAUCCUUGCGUUACCUUUUGGAAGAUGUAGGUCAAUUUUCAACCUGUUCAGUUGCCUUGACACUUCUGAGCCAGAACAACAGAUGAUGUGGAUGCUGAAGUGCAAAAACUAUGUAUCAAUACUCAGAAAAAGAAAUGGGAAAUACGAAGUUCAGAGGGUGAUGCUGUGUCAAGUGCUUGUUUGCCUACACAUUCUGUGUCAGUGCAGUGGCCCAUCUAAGGUCUACAGGGCUUACAUCUACCUCAUGUCAAGGCUGCACAAAGCCAGAGGAAAGGAUGUCCUGUGUGGCUGGAAAUAGGCUGGGGAGCUGUGCGUGUUCACCCUGGCCUGGGGACAGCCCACCCUGCUCUUGGUAAGGCAUGCUGAGGUAGGCUGGAGCACACAGGGACAGGUCCUGCAGGCAGUAGAGCUGCAUCUAAGAGAGUAAUGCACUGGAAAAUGGCAUGUAUCUAGGAGGAGCUGAGAGCUACUAUGUAUUGGAAUCAAACACAGCCACAGAGCCUUUCCUGGUUUUUUGUUUCUCGUGAGCAAGAGUUGAGAAAGCAUUACUUAUAGACAGACUGUGAGAAAAGCCUUGUAAAGCUGAGCCUUGGCACAACACAUCAGCAGCUUGAUUUAUCUCCUUUAAUUCCAUUGUUCCUGGAAGGGUCUUUAGUAAAACUCAUUCCUCCUUCUUUCCUUGGGAAGCUACUAACAUCCCAAAACAGUGAAUCAACCUCAAUAGCUUUUCCUUCUGCCUGUCACCCCACACAUGCCCUUUGGUGAGCAAAAACAGUCAAGUGUUUGCAUGCCUUCCCACUCUGUUUGUAUGUUCAAUCUGAAAGAAAUAUUAUUUCUGAGAUUUGAUUUCUCAAUUGUCUCUCCCCUGUUUUCUACUAUCACGUUCCAACUGAAAGCAAUCUGAUUAUCAAACAAGGACUUGAUGGGCAAGCACAAGCUUUGAACAAACAGUUAUUGCGAUAUUACCUUUGUUCAAAAGCCCAAAUUUUUAUGGGUAGUGGGGCAAAAA